rnacentral:ncRNA from 1 species
ACAUGGUCGGUUAGUCAAUCCUAAGAGAUGGGGAAUCCUUGUAUCAAGAGUGCACUCUGCAUGAACAUCAAAAGAGAAUUGGCUUAAUAUUCCUGAACCGGGACAUGGUGGUGGACAACAAUGUUAGGAAAUCUGAGGAUGUCAUCAGGGGCUUGGGAAGACUUAUCUUUUAUUUUUAACAACUUUCCCACCAUGGAAUCGGUUCAACUAGAGAUAGGGUCCAACAUAUGGAAGAUAACCACAUGUCUUGCAGUGUUUGGUGCCCCCUCGGUGGCCAUUGAAAAUAUGGAGAACCGAGUACCAUCCAUGCCCGAUUGUACUCAUAUCUGCCUCCUUGGAUUUUUCAAUGUCUACUAGGUUAGCGAUCUUG